UAUGCGUCAGCAGCCGGGGUUAUCCGGAAGCAGCGAGCUUUAUCAGUCAUCAUGGGGAUUUAAGAGUCAGCAGGCAGAUCUAGAAGUCAGUGGGGAAAUCUGGCAUUUUUACUGUAGGUCUGGCAUUCGUACUGUAUGGGUGGAAUUCGGAGGGAGUGGGCGGAAUGCGUAGAGAAGCGGUAGAACGCAGAGAGAGAACGCAGCCCACGGAUCGCGAAGGCAGCCCCCUAGGCGCAGGUGGUCGCUCAGGGCCGGAAGCGUUGGGAGGGAACAAGAUGAGAUACCCUAGUAGUACUCGCAGUAAACGAUAGGCAAUGUGAAAUGGAAUGAGUAGGCAACUUAGAGUAAUGACG
rnacentral:rRNA from 1 species